UACGUAGGGUGCGAGCGUUAAUCGGAAUUACUGGGCGUAAAGCGUGCGCAGGCGGUGAUGUAAGACAGAUGUGAAAUCCCCCGGGCUCAACCUGGGAACUGCAUUUGUGACUGCAUCGCUGGAGUGCGGCAGAGGGGGAUGGAAUUCCGCGUGUAGCAGUGAGAUGCGUAGAUAUGCGGAGGAACACCGAUGGCGAAGGCAAUCCCCUGGGCCUGCACUGACGCUCAUGCACGAAAGCGUGGGGAGCAAACGGG
rnacentral:rRNA from 1 species